UACGGGGGGGGUAAGCGUUGUUCGGAAUUACUGGGCGUAAAGGGCUCGUAGGCGGCCAACUAAGUCAUACGUGAAAUCCCUCAGCUUAACUGGGGAACUGCGUCUGAUACUGGAUGGCUUGAGUUCGGGAGAGGGAUGCGGAAUUCCAGGUGUAGCGGUGAAAUGCGUAGAUAUCUGGAGGAACACCGGUGGCGAAGGCGGCAUCCUGGACCGACACUGACACUGAGGAGCGAAAGCCAGGGGAGCAAACGGG
rnacentral:rRNA from 1 species